UACGUAGGGUGCAAGCGUUGUCCGGAAUUAUUGGGCGUAAAGAGCUCGUAGGCGGUUUGUCGCGUCUGCUGUGAAAACUCGGGGCUUAACUCCGGGCCUGCAGUGGGUACGGGCAGACUAGAGUGCGGUAGGGGAGACUGGAAUUCCAGGUGUAGCGGUGAAAUGCGUAGAUAUCUGGAGGAACACCGGUGGCGAAGGCGGCAUCCUGGACCAACACUGACACUGAGGAGCGAAAGCCAGGGGAGCAAACGGG
rnacentral:rRNA from 1 species